GACGGACCAUCCAAACGUUAUUCGGAAUUACUGGGCUUAAAGGGUGCGUAGGCGGCGCGGAAAGUUGGGUGUGAAAUCCCUUGGCUUAACCAAGGAAUGGCGCUCAAAACUACCGUGCUCGAGGAAGACAGAGGUGAGCGGAACUUAGGGUGGAGCGGUGAAAUGCGUUGAUAUCCUAAGGAACACCGGUGGCGAAAGCGGCUCACUGGGUCUUUUCUGACGCUGAGGCACGAAAGCCAGGGUAGCGAACGGG
rnacentral:rRNA from 2 species